rnacentral:rRNA from 1 species
AUUGAACGCUGGCGGCAUGCUUUACACAUGCAAGUCGAACGGCAGCGCGGUCUUCGGCCUGGCGGCUCGUGUCGAACGGGUGAGUAAUGCAUCGGAACGUGCCCAGUAGUGGUGGAUAGCCCGGCGAAAGACGGAGUAAUACCGCAUACGACCUGAUGGUGAAGGCGGGGGAGGGAAAGACCUCUCGCUCUUGGGGCGACCGAUGUGGGAUUAGCUAGUUUGUGGGGUAAAGGCUUACCAAGGCGACCAUCCGUAGAUGGUCUGAGAGGACGAGCAGCCACACUGGGGCUGGACCACGGCCAAGGCGACUACGGGAGGCCGCAGUCGGGUAUGGUGGGCAACAGGGGCAACCCUGGUCCAGCCAUGCCGCGUGUGGGACGAAGGCCUUCCGGUUGGAAAGCGCUUUUGCGCGGGAAGAACCCCUCUGGGCUAAUACGAAGGGGGGGUGACGGUAACGGAAGAAUAAGCACCGGCUAACUACGUG